GACGAACGCUGGCGGCGCGCUUAACACAUGCAAGUCGAGCGAAAACCAGGGCUUCGGCCCUGGGGACAGCGGCGAACGGGUGAGUAACACGUGGGUAAUCUGCCCUCGGCACCGGAAUAGCCCGGGGAAACCCGGAUUAAUGCCGGAUGGCCCCUUCACCUCGCGAGGUGUCGGGAAAAGGUAGCUUCGGCCUCUGGCCGAGGAUGAGCCCGCGGCGGAUUAGCUUGUUGGCGGGGUAACGGCCCACCAAGGCGACGAUCCGUAGCUGGUCUGGAGGGACGAUAAGCCACACUGGGACUGAGACACGGCCCAGACUCCUACGGGAGGCAGCAGUGGGGAAUCUUGCGCAAUGGGCGAAAGCCUGACGCAGCGACGCCGCGUGAGGGAAGAAGGCCUUCGGGUUGUAAACCUCUUUCAGGAGGGACGAAGCUACUCGGGUGAAUAGCCCAGAGGGUGACGGUACCUCCAGAAGAAGCCCCGGCUAACUACGUGCCAGCAGCCGCCGUAA
rnacentral:rRNA from 1 species